GGGACUGUACUUUCCACUUAGACUCCAGAGAGAGGAGACAAAUGCUAUCUGUUCAGGAAUUGUGAGCCUUGCUAACCUGGACAGGCAGGCAAAAGAGGAAGUUCCGUAUCUUGCCUUGGGAGAGAAUUUUUAUCCUCAGUGAAAAUGGCAUGUAUUGAUUAAGGUGAAAGAGUGAUAGAAAAAUUUUGACCAUAUAAGAGAAUUUAAUUCACAAUUUUUAUUUUAUUUUAUUUAUUUUAUUUUAUUUUCCCACUGUACAGCAAGGGGGUCAGGUUAUCCUUACAUGUAUACAAGAGAAGUCUGGAAGUAGGCAGUCUGGGGCUGGCAUGGCAAUUCUAGAGCAUCAUCAUGAGCCCAAUUUCCUUCUUUUUCUGUUAUCUAUUUUCUAAACGCAUGGCUUCCAUUCUCAAAGUCAACUCAGGAUCCAAAGUAGCUGCUGGAGUUCUAGACAUCAUUUCCACCUUCCAGCUAGCAGGAAGGGUAGAAAGCUUCUCCUUCUCAGAGGCUCAUAUGGUAUUUCCUCUUGCACCUAGUCGGCCAGAAUUUAGUCGCAUGACCUCACUUAGCUGCAAGAGAGGCUGGGGAAUUGAGUCUUGUGGUCAAGCAGUAAUAUACUAGCUAAAAACUGGAAUUCUGUUACUAAGGAAGAAGAAGAAAGUGGACAUUUGGAAGGCAAGUCCUGAUCUCUACCACAGAGGCUUGAGCCAGACAGAGCUCAGAUACUAUGCUGUUGUUGACUGUGGCUGUUUGGCUUUGAGCAAAGGCCCUUUUCUCUCCCACUGCAAAUGGAGUUUUUAACCUUUACUUCAGGGUCAUCCAAGAAGCUGAGACGGUUUUUAGCGAAGACUGCCCAGAAUGGUCUAGUGCACACACAGCCAUGUGAGACGGGCAGUGGCACCUUAGAUCCUUUUGUCUGCCUGUUGUAGAGUUGAAUUGGUUGAAAAUAAUAAGUAUAGAUGGGAUUUUUUUUGGCACACUGCCUAUGACCCUAGUCUGAUUAAUGCCCUCAGACAAAUGCUUUCAGGGGCUGCAGUUCUGGAAAGAUUCUAAGAGGAAUCAGAGCAGGAAGCUUUUUGAGGUCAUAGUCAUGGGCAAGUAUAUCAAGAUGUUUUUAGAACCAUAGAAUCUCAAACCUGAAUGAAGACAAAAAGCCUAAAUUAUGAUGUAUUCUUUGUUUCAAAUAGUUUAAGAAAAAAGACCAACUUUUGAAAAUUAGUUUGUUUCAUAUAUAUUUGAAGAAAUGAGGCCAUUUGGCAACAUCCAUCCUGCAUUCCUUCAUGGUGACAAUCCUUAGCAAUUCCUGGGGCCAAAGGGUAAUGGCCCUCAUUAGAUGGGGCCAUCCAUCCAACCAUAUAGUUUUGAUAUCUUAUGUCUGCCCCACUUUUUUACUCAUUCUUGUGACCUACUGGGAACCAGUAAGCAUCUAUGCUUAUACCCCUUGCCAGGGAUGGCUUAGGAGGUAGACUAUGCCUGGGACUGAGCUCAGGGGUUGGGUAUUGCUGGUCUCAGUCACUGUCUGAAUGGGAGGCAUGAGUAGAGGAUUCUUGGCUUGGAGAGAUGGGGCAGGAUAUAAGUGGAAGCUGGGGUUUUACAAAGAAAGGGCCUGACCAGGUGGGCCCAAAGGCUCACCCAUAAUGUGGACUUGAGGAGGGAUUCACCUGUGGGAAGAACAGACACAUCUCUGCACUUCAGGGUAACUGCUCUCAGGAUCUGACUGGAUGGGUUGGAACCAAAGUCAUGGUUUACAAAGCUAGAGCCAGGAUGUGACUGUGGAUUGUAGCCAGGUUUUUCCAUUACAGGUGGAGUAAGCUCCCAGGGUGCUUUAAGUGAUAACUAGCCAGUGUAAUAAACAGAUGGUUCCUUACCAUCUCCAGGAAUGAUUUUGUAACCUACUGUGGAGGCUUAUCUGAGUGGUUCACAACCUAACCCCACCUUCCAACUGGCUGGCAAUCUGUUCGUUGAUAUCCUUAUCUGAAUGUCUGUGGGAGCAUAAAAUUUUUUUAAAAAGGGAUAUGCACAACUGCUUCCCAAGCCACCCUUUCCCCAACAUAGUGAUAUACAGUCUUGUGUAUUUUCCUAAAAUUUUACUUGGAAGCCACUUUAACGUACAAAAAAUAAAGAAGAAAGAACCCUCAAAAAGCUGUAGGGUUCCAAUAUUUCUUAUUUAUGAAAAGAGACAUCAGGAUCCUUCAAACAAUGCUGUACUGAAUGAUUUGAGGAAACAAUGUUGUCAUCAUUUGAAGCUUUUGUUUAGAGACCACGUUGAUAAAUUUCAGAAGGCACUCGCUUGUCUUCUCCCAGCUGUAGUCAGUCAUGCGAUUGGUAUUUGCAUCCUUGGACUUUGGCUUGAAAUGAAAUCUUUUAGCUCUGCUUUAGAUAGUAAAUGUCAACAGUUUAAAGUGGCAUGAUGCUGAUCUCUAAAUCUGCCCUACAGCUGAAUGCUGCAAAUAGGAAGAAAGGAAAAGAAAAACUAUUCGCUACCUUGUGAAACACGUGUGAUUUUCAAUUUGAUUCUCCUUAGAUGUGAGAUCUGUAAUUGUGAGUUCUAAUUUUAUUCAUUCUGACUGGGAAAGCCUCAACAUUUUAAUUAGCACUGGUGACAGAAAUUACAUCAGUUUUAUUUCAGUUCUUUGAGUUUUCAUUUUCCUUAGCUGUAUUCAACUGAAAUGAAAACAUCCAGGCAAGGGUUCCCUCACCUUAAUUAAGGUUAAUUUUUCUAGCACUUGAAAUCAGAUGCAUUCAGUGGCUGAGACACACUGUGUUGGGCCACAACCUGUAUGUGAGAAAAAUAACAAUUUGCUUUUCACUCAGUGUUCCCACUAGUAUUUAUCCUGGCUGUAUCCUAAUGAAUUCAACUUUUUCCUGUUGUGCUGUGCUCCAGUCCACACCCUACCCACUUAAUUUUAAAUUUACUUUGCAGUAUUAGGUUU
rnacentral:lncRNA from 1 species